UACAGAGGUCGCAAGCGUUGUUCGGAUUCAUUGGGCGUAAAGGGUGCGUAGGCGGCGCGGUAAGUCGGGUGUGAAAGCUUGGAGCUUAACUCCGAAACUGCAUUCGAUACUGCCGUGCUUGAGGACUGGAGAGGAGACUGGAAUUUACGGUGUAGCGGUGAAAUGCGUAGAUAUCGUAAGGAAGACCAGUGGCGAAGGCGGGUCUCUGGACAGUUCCUGACGCUGAGGCACGAAGGCCAGGGGAGCAAACGGG
rnacentral:rRNA from 1 species